AAAUAAUAAGCAGCCGUUGUAUAAAGCAUACUUAAUGGGACUCCCCCAGUAACCAUUUCGCGAGUAUAAAAAGACCCUGUUUUCACCGAUCGGUACCCAGCAACUUCUUCAAGUUCAACGGAACACUAUUGAAAAAAAGAAAAAAUAACCAAAAUGUCACGAGUUAUUUUACUGUUAUCAAUAAUUUUAUUCAUUGGCUGCUUCUAUGCUGUUGCAGAAAACUGUGACGGCCAUUGGUGUUCUGCGCAAUCUCCUUGUGGCUGUGAGGGUUACACUUGUAGGAGGGGCAAUUGCGCAGUGACUACUAUUGAGGAUUUUCCCAGUUCUGUCUAUAGUGCUGGGUGAAGUUUUACAAAUUUCCUGUCAGGAGUAUACUACAAUUUCAAAAUUGUAGAUUUUUGUUACAAAAAAUGGCACCUUAUGAAUAUUGUAAUAUUGGUCUUAUUCAAUACUAAUAAAU